GAUGAACGCGGGCGGCGUGCCCUAAUACAUGCAAGUAGAACGCUGCAGCUUGGUGCUUGCACCGAGCGGGUGAGUUGCGAACGGGUGAGUAACGCGUAGGUAACCUGCAUGGUAGCGGGGGAUAACUAUUGGAAACGAUAGCUAAUACCGCAUGACAACAGUUAUUGCAUGAUAACUGUUUAAAAGGGGCAAUUGCUCCACUACCAGAUGGACCUGCGUUGUAUUAGCUAGUUGGUGAGGUAACGGCUCACCAAGGCGACGAUACAUAGCCGACCUGAGAGGGUGAUCGGCCACACUGGGACUGAGACACGGCCCAGACUCCUACGGGAGGCAGCAGUAGGGAAUCUUCGGCAAUGGACGGAAGUCUGACCGAGCAACGCCGCGUGAGUGAAGAAGGUUUUCGGAUCGUAAAGCUCUGUUGUAAGAGAAGAACGAGUGUGAGAGUGGAAAGUUCACACUGUGACGGUAUCUUACCAGAAAGGGACGGCUAACUACGUGCCAGCAGCCGCGGUAAUACGUAGGUCCCGAGCGUUAUCCGGAUUUAUUGGGCGUAAAGCGAGCGCAGGCGGUUAGAUAAGUCUGAAGUUAAAGGCUGUGGCUUAACCAUGGUACGCUUUGGAAACUGUUUAACUUGAGUGCAAGAGGGGAGAGUGGAAUUCCAUGUGUAGCGGUGAAAUGCGUAGAUAUAUGGAGGAACACCGGUGGCGAAAGCGGCUCUCUGGCUUGUAACUGACGCUGAGGCUCGAAAGCGUGGGGAGCAAACAGG
rnacentral:rRNA from 1 species